UACGUAGGUCGCAAGCGUUGUCCGGAUUUACUGGGCGUAAAGAGCGCGCAGGCGGCUGGUCAAGUCCGAUGUGAAAUCUCCCGGCUUAACUGGGAAACUGCAUCGGAAACUGAUCGGCUUGAAGGUGGGAGAGGGUAGUAGAAUUCCCGGUGUAGUGGUAAAAUGCGUAGAUAUCGGGAGGAACACCAGUGGCGAAGGCGACUACCUGGCCCGUUCUUGACGCUGAGGCGCGAAAGCUAGGGGAGCGGACGGG
rnacentral:rRNA from 1 species